rnacentral:rRNA from 1 species
AUACGGAGGGUGCAAGCGUUGUUCGGAAUUACUGGGCGUAAAGCGCGCGUAGGUGGUCUGUUAUGUCAGAUGUGAAAGUCCACGGCUCAACCGUGGAAGUGCAUUUGAAACUGGCAGACUUGAGUACUGGAGGGGGUAGUGGAAUUCCCGGUGUAGAGGUGAAAUUCGUAGAUAUCGGGAGGAAUACCGGUGGCGAAGGCGACUACCUGGCCAGAUACUGACACUGAGGUGCGAAAGCGUGGGGAGCGAACAGGAUUAGAAACCCCAGUAGUCC